CCUACGGGGGGCUGCAGUGGGGGAUAUUGCACAAUGGGGGAAACCCUGAUGCAGCGACGCCGCGUGGGUGAAGAAGUAUUUCGGUAUGUAAAGCCCUAUCAGCAGGGAAGAAAGAAGACGGUACCUGACUAAGAAGCCCCGGCUAACUACGUGCCAGCAGCCGCGGUAAUACGUAGGGGGCGAGCGUUAUCCGGAUUCACUGGGUGUAAAGGGAGCGUAGACGGCCGUGCAAGCCAGGAGUGAAAGCCCGGGGCCCAACCCCGGGACUGCUCUUGGAACUGUGCGGCUGGAGUGCGGGAGGGGCAGGCGGAAUUCCUGGUGUAGCGGUGAAAUGCGUAGAUAUCAGGAGGAACACCGGCGGCGAAGGCGGCCUGCUGGACCGCGACUGACGUUGAGGCUCGAAAGCGUGGGGAGCGAACAGGAUUAGAUACCCCUGUAGUC
rnacentral:rRNA from 1 species